rnacentral:lncRNA from 1 species
GUCCUGAGUUCAAUCCCCCGUGUACCAAAAACCAAACAAACAAAAAACAAAACAAAAAAAACCCUACAUUUCUCAGGGUCCCUUAUAGUUUUGGAUGUGCAGCUCACCCAAUUGUGUGUUUCAGAAGGAGGACAAGGCAGACAUCAUCAUCCAUUUUUUAAGUCAAGCUCAGAAAAGCCAGCCUGGGGUACAUGAUGUAGUGAGUUCAAGGCCAGCCUGAACUACAUAGUGAGAUGCGGUCUCAAAAAUAAAUAAAUAAUUAAGAGCUCUCAUUCUUUUCUCUUGAGGACUAAGGAAGAAAGCCCUUUCCCCUUUCAUCUUUUACUGGACUGACUCUUGUUUCCAAAUAUGCAUGUGUCUAUAUGUUUCAAGCCAGAGGAAAUGAUGCAGGUGUCAAGCUGGCUGAACUCAGAUGAUUAGGAGCUCAGGUGCUGGGGAUGACGAUGAGGAGAAUUUGCAUCUUCCAGAAGAAAAGAUGGAGCACUGGGGCCCAGCAUGAGGAGGCCUUCAGUGAAGAAAGCAGAAGAAAGGUACCUCAUCAGCAGUGUGUGCAAACCUCGGGCUCUUAUGAUUGUCUCAGUUUGAAAAAACCUCCUCCUAAUAUACAACCAUCUGAGCUGGCUGUGGUGAUGCACGCCUGUAAUCCUAGCACUCUGGGAGGCUGAGACAGGAAGAGGACAAGUUUGAGCCUGGUCUGGGCAACUCAUUGAGACGCUAUCCCAAAAUAAAAAUAAAAAGGGCUGAGGAGGUAGCUAGCUCAUCUUUGCGCUAAACUAGUAUGGCCAGAGAUCUUAACAGAGACACACUUAAUCAUUCAUUCAACG